GAAAAAACAGUGAAGAAGGGGAAGAAAGAUAAAAAGGGGAAGAAAAGUUUUUUCGAGGAGCUCUCUACUGAAAACAAACCUGAGAAGGAACCAGAGGUGGCCGUGAAAGAAACCCAGGGAAAAUCG